rnacentral:ncRNA from 1 species
AUACAGGCAAAGACGGAGAGUUUUCGAGUUGUUCGGUUUUCAGAGAGGCGUCGGCAGGUGAAAGACGUCAGCCGUUAUUCGGAUUGUAGCUCCCGAGCCGGAGGGAAGAAAGCUUUUGCCGUAGAACCCUCCCGUUAUUCUGCGUUAAGGAUUUGAGUGGUAUUCUUUGAAUACAAAUUGAGUGGUACCGCGGGUUUUAUCUCGUCUCAAGG